ACGGGAGGCAGCAGUGGGGAAUAUUGCACAAUGGGGGAAACCCUGAUGCAGCGACGCCGCGUGAGUGAAGAAGUAUUUCGGUAUGUAAAGCUCUAUCAGCAGGGAAGAAAAUGACGGUACCUGACUAAGAAGCACCGGCUAAAUACGUGCCAGCAGCCGCGGUAAUACGUAUGGUGCAAGCGUUAUCCGGAUUUACUGGGUGUAAAGGGAGCGUAGACGGCGAGGCAAGUCUGAAGUGAAAUGCGGGGGCUCAACCCCUGAACUGCUUUGGAAACUGUUUUGCUAGAGUGCAGGAGAGGUAAGUGGAAUUCCUAGUGUAGCGGUGAAAUGCGUAGAUAUUAGGAGGAACACCGGCGGCGAAGGCGGCUUACUGGACUGUAACUGACGUUGAGGCUCGAAAGCGUGGGGAGCAAGCAGGAUUAGAUACCCUGGUA
rnacentral:rRNA from 1 species